rnacentral:lncRNA from 1 species
GUCCCAUAAUACUGAAAAUUUAAAACUGAAAAGAAGACAGUUUCAGUUACGCAGAGGACAUACUGACUAAAGCUGGCUCCAUCAACUUUAGAAAUAGUACUCUUGACACAGCAUCUUCCCAGAAGAGAUGGUAGAACCCAUUAGAGUGCCCCAUUAAUAUUCUUGUACAUACCCACACGGCAUUGCCAUGGCGUACAGAGGCAGAUGAACUUUAGCCUGAAGUACAGGUUGUGUGUC